GACGAACGCUGGCGGCGUGCUUAACACAUGCAAGUCGAACGGAAAGGCCCUGCUUUUGUUGGGUUCUCGAGUGGCGAACGGGUGAGUAACACGUGAGUAACCUGCCCUUGACUUUGGGAUAACUUCAGGAAACUGGGGCUAAUACCGGAUAGGAGCUCCUGCUGCAUGGUGGGGGUUGGAAAGUUUCGGCGGUUGGGGAUGGACUCGCGGCUUAUCAGCUUGUUGGUGGGGUAGUGGCUUACCAAGGCUUUGACGGGUAGCCGGCCUGAGAGGGUGACCGGCCACAGUGGGCCUGAGAUCCGGCCCAGACUCCUACGGGAGGCAGCAGUGGGGAAUAUUGCACAAUGAGCGGAAGCAUGAUGCAGCAACCACGCGUGCGGGAUGACGGCCUUCGGGUUGUAAACCGCUUUCGCCUGUGACGAAGCGUGAGUGACGGUAAUGGGUAAAGAAGCACCGGCUAACUACGUG
rnacentral:rRNA from 1 species